rnacentral:lncRNA from 1 species
GAGAUAAUACAACAUAUCUUCAGGCCUGUUGGGAGGAUUAAAAUGGAUGAUGACGAAGAAUUCUCAGGGCAGUGCUUGUCACAAAAACCAUCAAUUCAGGAAGUGAGAAUGUUAACUAGCAGUCGUUGCCACCGGGAAUCACCUACCCUCCAUGCAGCAUAUCUGUUCCUCUCACCCAUCCUGCAAGCCAGAAUGAUAGCACCCUAGAAAUAAGGAAACAGAAGCAGGAAGUUAAGCAAUGUGCCCAAGGUCAUACGGCCCAGACUGGAGCCAUGAUGCAAAUGAAAGCACCUGGGACCUAAACCAGCUUGCUUUCCAGGAUAUCACCCCACUAGAAACAGCUUUGCCUCAAGCCAAGCACUGUAGGGAAGAGGCCAUGGAGGGAAGAGACUGGGCCCUCUCUGCCGACGCCUGGUUACCCUGGUCAACUAGGAGGGAAGCCGUUCUGGAUGCCGAGCGGCGCCCUGCACGGACCCCAGAUGGCAGGGCUCCUUCUGGAGCAGUGUAGGGCAAUGUGCAAGGCUGCUGCAUCUUGGAGCAGCUGCUCAGAGCUCUUAUUCACUCAUGAGAAGUCUUAGAAGCCUGGACCACUGUCCCAGUUGUUGGCCCCCUCGCAGGAGAGGAGGGAGAUGUCCCACACCCCCAUCUGUCUGUGGAGACCCUCUCCUAAUUUCUACUCCCGUCCCAAGACUGGUAAUUCUGUCAAAGUAUUACAGAAUUAAAGAAACUCAUUUACUCCUAAACUUACAUGGAAUUCUCACAUC